rnacentral:rRNA from 1 species
AUUGAACGCUGGCGGCAGGCUUAACACAUGCAAGUCGAGCGAGCGGCGGACGGGUGAGUAAUGUCUGGGAAACUGCCUGAUGGAGGGGGAUAACUACUGGAAACCGUAGCUAAUACCGCAUACCAUCAGAUGUGCCCAGAUGGGAUUAGCUAGUAGUGGGGGUAAUGGCUAACCUAGGCGACGAGCCCUAGCUGGUCUGAGAGGAUGACCAGCCAAACUUGAACGGAGACACGGUCCAGACUCCUACGGGAGGCAGCAGUUGGGAAUAUUGGACAAUGGGCGCAAGCCUGAUGCAGCCAUGCCGCGUGUGUGAAGAAGGCCUUCGGGUUGUAAAGCUCUGUCAGCGAGGAGGCGUUACUCGCACAAGAAGCACCGGCUAACUCCGUGCCAGCAGCCGCGGUAAUAC